CUCCAGAACAUCUUGCCACACCCAUCACCUCUAUACCCAAUUACUCGCAACCCGCUCUUUCCACUGGGACUGCAGGCCAAUACUUACCAACAGAUAACACCUGCUACUGAUAGGCUUUACCUCACUCUAGGAAGCAUCCUGGAAGACAACACUAUCCAUUCUCUCACUAGCUUGUUGGGGCCGAAUACACCGAACACGAUGGCAGCAUUUUAUUAUGCGCAAAUUACUCAAUUCCUAAAGGCCAAC